GCGACCCCAGGAUGGGCGAGACCACCCGCCAGUUUAAG
rnacentral:rRNA from 1 species